rnacentral:lncRNA from 1 species
AUGACUAUAGUCUCAGAAGUUAUAGUCCUUUUUGCCUUCUUGGGGCUUGAGUCUUCAUCCCAGUUUUCUUCCAGUUCUUCCAACAUUUCUGCCCUUCGUCCUUCAGCUGUCUUCAGAUUCCUUGAAGAUCUCUUCCUUUUGAUGGUCUGAAGAGCAGCUUCUCUUUUCUUUUUGGGACUUGGAGGCUUUUCAGAAGCAGCUUGAUCAGAAGCAGCUUGUUCAGAACCAGUUUGUUCAGAAGCAGGCUGUUCUGCUGUUUCUUGAGUACUCC